CACAAAUUAAUAAUGCAUUUGCUACUGUCAAAAACAUCAUUACGAGCAAUGAUGAAUUGAUUAAUGAAGGUUCACCAAAUCAUGUAAAUGAGACUGCUGAUGAAAAUGUUGAUGUUUCAGGAACAGAUAAAGGUGAGCACCAGGAGAAAGGGGUUGUGUUAAGCCGGGUUUUGAAUGCAGAAAUGGAUGAAAGGGACACUCCUCAUUUGAACAAUCCUCUUUGUAUGGCCUCAGUGGAAUCUAUGGAAGAAGCAAGUGCAAUUGAAAAUAACAUGGACAGUGUAGAAGAACCUAAUAUAAUACCCAAGGGGGAUUCUGGCUUAGAUACACAUGUUCAUUCUGCAGUACAUGCACGUGAAGUACCACCGGUGGUGAUUGAAGGAAAUACUGCAGUUGAAAGUCAUGAAGUUGAGAAGUCUGGGGCAUGUCUGUUACCUACAGAAGAGAAUAAAUGUGCUGAAGAUAAAUUGGAUGAAAGUUCUUGUUUGCCCGAGGUCCAUUCUUCAGCUGAGUUUGUCAAUGAGACACAUGCUGAGGGCCAUGUUUCAUCCUCCACAAUUGUUGAAUCCAAGCAAAUGUGUAAAAAAAAUGAAGUCCCCAGACAAUGUGAUGUUGACAAAUGUGAUAAAGAUAUUCAUGUUAUUGAACAAAAAGAGAACAUUGUUUUGCCUGCUGAUGAUAGUAAUAGAGAUACGAUAAUUGAUAAAGGGGUUGGUACCUCUUCUUUUGUUGAAGGUAGCGCAGGAAAUGAGUUGAUAGUUUCCGAACCUCAAUCAGAUUCUACUGCUGGAAGAGAAUCAGCAGCAGAUUUCACCUUUGAAAGUGCUAACUUGUCCUGUAAUGCAGUGGAUGAGGUUCCUGUGACCUCUGGGAAUGGCACUAGUACAGAUGCAGUAAUUGAUCACAAGGAUGUUGAAGUGUCUGGUUUACCUGUAGUGUUUACUUGCUCAGAUAGAGAGGAAGAAAUUGUUGCCAAGAUUUCCACGGAAACAAGUUUAUGUGAUCACAAGGCAUCUUGUCAAGUGACGACUAGAGUAGAUCCUGUUUCUGAAUCUG
rnacentral:misc_RNA from 1 species